UGGGACCGAUAACUGGGGUGAAGUCGUAACAAGGUAGCCGUAUCGGAAGGUGCGGCUGGAUCACCUCCUUUCUAAGGAA
rnacentral:rRNA from 1 species